rnacentral:rRNA from 1 species
CCUACGGGAGGCAGCAGUGGGGAAUAUUGGGCAAUGGAGGCAACUCUGACCCAGCAACGCCGCGUGAGUGAUGACGGUCUUCGGAUUGUAAAACUCUUUAAGUGGGGACGAAGAAAGUGACUGUACCCACACAUUAAGCCUCGGCUAACUACGUGCCAGCAGCCGCGGGAAUACGUAGGAGGCAAGCGUUAUUCGGAAUGACUGGGGGUAAAGGGUGGGUAGGUGGUUCGGAAAGUUAGUAGGGAAAUUCCGGGGGACAAACUCGGAACUACUACUAAAACUGGUGGGCUUGAGUGCAGGAGAGGCAUAUGGAAUGCGUGGUGUAGCGGUGGAAUGCGUAGAUAUUAGGAAGAACACCAAUGGCGAAGGCGAUAUGCUGGACUGUAACUGACACUGAGGCACGAAAGCGUGGGGAGCAAACAGGAUUAGAUACCCUGGUAGUC